rnacentral:rRNA from 1 species
GACGGGGGGGGCAAGUGUUCUUCGGAAUGACUGGGCGUAAAGGGCACGUAGGCGGUGAAUCGGGUUGAAAGUGAAAGUCGCCAAAAAGUGGCGGAAUGCUCUCGAAACCAAUUCACUUGAGUGAGACAGAGGAGAGUGGAAUUUCGUGUGUAGGGGUGAAAUCCGUAAAUAUACGAAGGAACGCCAAAAGCGAAGGACAGCUCGUCUGGGUCCCUGCCGACGCUGGGGU